rnacentral:lncRNA from 1 species
CAUCAUGUAUCAUUGCGUUGCUCAAAUCCAAGUCUUAGAUCACAAACUCAAUGCAAAAAGUCCUUUAAAAGUUCGGACAGCACUUCCCCUACAUUUGCUAACUUUUCCAGCCAUCAUGGCUUCAUUAUUACUCCAGCCAGUCCCAAAGUCACACAAAUAAGUUCAUCUAAUAUCCCAUUCAGCAAGCUCCAAGUAGUACAAAGACAAGUCAAGCUAGGGAAAAAGUCCGGAAAUGAAAGUUAAGCUCAAAACCAGAAAAAUAGGUUUUGACGUCAUUUUGCGGUAAUGGUAUAAAAGGCGCUACGAUUGUCGGAUGAAGGUGCAAGAUACACCAUUUCGAAGCUA